UCCGUGUUAGUAUAGUGGUGAGUAUCCCCGCCUGUCACGCGGGAGACCGGGGUUCGAUUCCCCGACACGGAG
rfam:Branchiostoma floridae genomic scaffold BRAFLscaffold_1, whole genome shotgun sequence.